rnacentral:rRNA from 1 species
CAACGCCGCGUGCGCGAUGAAGGCCUUCGGGUUGUAAAGCGCUUUUCGGAGGGAUGAAUCAAGACAGUACCUCCAGAACAAGGAUCGGCUAACUACGUGCCAGCAGCCGCGGUAAAACGUAGGAUCCAAGCGUUAUCCGGAAUUACUGGGCGUAAAGGGCGUGUAGGCGGCUUGGCAAGUCGGUCAUGAAAGCUCCCGGCUCAACUGGGAGAGGUUGUCCGAUACUGCCAGGCUAGAGGGCAAGAGAGGGAGGUGGAAUUCCCGGUGUAGUGGUGAAAUGCGUAGAUAUCGGGAGGAACACCAGUGGCGAAGGCGGCCUCCUGGCUUGCGCCUGACGCUGAGACGCGAAAGCGUGGGGAGCGGACGGGAUUAGAAACCCCGGUAGUCCACGCUGUAAACGAUGUCAACUAGGUGUCGGUGGCGUAGAACCCGUCGGUAUCGAAGCUAACGCGUUAAGUUGACCGCCUGGGGACUACGAUCGCAAGAUUAAAACUCAAAGGAAUUGACGGGGACCCGCACAAGCAGCGGAGCGUGUGGUUUAAUUCGAGGCUACGCGAAGAACCUUACCAGGGAUUGACAUGCACGUAGUAGGGAAGCGAAAGCAGACCGACCCUUCGGGGAGCGUGCACAGGUGAUGCAUGGCUGUCGUCAGCUCGUGCCGUGAGGUGUCAGGUUAAGUCCUGUAACGAGCGCAACCCCUGUCGUGUGUUAUACGUGUCACACGAGACUGCCGGUGUCAAACCGGAGGAAGGCGGGGAUGACGUCAAGUCAGCAUGUCCUUCAUAUCCUGGGCUACACACACGCUACAAUGGCCGGGACA